CUCUGCUGGAUGGACUCUGAGGAGAAACACAAGCAAACAACAGAGGACUCAGUGUGGAGAUGGGUGAGGAGAAGAAGCUGGUUCUACCUGUAACACUGGUAUGAUCAUGCCUCAUGACAGUGGAGUUUACUGGUGUGAGUCCAGAGAGGGUCCCAUCAGUAACAUGGUUAACCUCACAGUCACUGGUGUUUUACACAUAUAAACACAUAAAUAAGAUGGAACCAGCACAAUUAUGUACAUGAUUUCCAUAGCCAGUAAUAAAGCGUAAAGCACAACGGUAGACUGUAUCCAACCUCUUUAUGUGGGCAGGUGUAUUCAUAAAAAGCAGGUCACUGUAAUCAAAUAAAGGUAAAAAAAAGUUGCAUGAAUCAAGUGUUUUUUCACUUGGAGGGAGAAAAAGGAUUGAUUUCUAAAAAAGUAACUUAGUUUUAGUUUUAACUUAGAAACAAGCCUUUGAAUGUGAGUUUUAGAUGACAAAUUCUGAUUUAUAAUGAUACCUGGAUACUUGUAAGAUGUAACCAUUUCAAUUACAGUUCCUUAGUUUUAAUCUCAGUAGAUGUAGUUAACAGCUCUUUGGCAUUUGAGAAUAACGUGAAGUUGGAUUUCUCUACAUUUAACAGAGAAGAAGAAUCAAGUCCCAUUUAAGUUGAGUUAAAUGGGAGUGAACAACUUUUAUUGCACAGAAAGUCAUCCAGCUGCGAACAACACAGUUAUGAGAGCUGAAGAUGUGAGUUAUGGUCAAAUCAUCAUCAAACAGAAGAAAAACAAGACAAAAGACAUCUGAUCUUUGUCUCCAUCAUGUUUCAGUUCUACGCAAUAACCCCUUGGUUUAAGCUAAAUGCUAACAUUAGAAUGGUAACAGGCUGCUGUUUAGUAAGCGUUACGUUAAGCAUGUUCAUCAUAGUAGUGGGUAACAUUUCCUUGUGAGCUGUAUAAAUCUGUGUAUUGCAAUUACAUUGUCUUAAUAUUCUAAUAAACAAUCUAAUUAGCUUGCGUACAUACAAUAAAUCCAUUCAUUAAUUCAUUCAUUUUCUACUGCUUAUCUGGAUCGAGGAGGAAACCGUCUAAGCAGAAAUCUGGAUCCCCCUCUCCUUAGCCAAGUCCUCUAGCUUUUCUGGUGAAAUGCCUCACUGUUCCAGUAUUGCUAAGCCAAGUCCAGACUGGUGUUUAGAAACAGUCAGAGCCCUUUCUCCAACCCAAAAGCUGAGGGAACCAACGGUGUCCUCCACCUUUGGUAGUGACGUUACUGAGUAAUAUGUUCCACACCAUUCCCGAUGAGUCUGAAAUCAUUCGGGUACACACACUAAUUACCAAGAUCAAAUUCUUGUUAAUGUAUAAAAAGGUAUACUCAACAAACUAAAUGUCUUUUGAUAUGAUAUUUUGACUUAUUUAAACAAGCAUCCUGUUUUUUAUUUCAGUAAAUUUAAGCCGAAGAGGAUUCUCACUUGUGUAUUUUGUGGUUUGGCAGAUAAUAACAGCAUAUUUGCUUUGUGCUCUGUGGUGAAGUGCAUCAGUUUGCAUUAGAAUAAACAUAGCAGCAUUGUGGUCGUCUACCUUCUUUUUCACCCAAACACCCACCAGUAAAGAACUGGUAAAGGUUCUUUACUGGUCAACUGUUGCUUGCAGCAGAGGCAUGAAGUGGGGAAAAAAAACCUGUGAAAACCUGAUGCUCAUUUAAUAUUUUUUUAAAUGAAGCAUGUAACAAAAACAUAUUGCCAUAGCUGUAGUGUUAUAAUACAGUAUUACAGUACUACGGCAAUUGAUGUUGUUGAAGUAAUUUAAGUGUUUUAUUGUGCAGAGACUAAUCCAGCUGCAGUCUCCUCAGAGGUGGGAACUGAAGACAUAAGUUACAGACAAAUGGUCAUCAGACUAAAGACUCUUAGAGACUUUAAACCAGAGCCAGACGUCAUCUACUCUUCACUGAAGUAGUCCACCAAUCCAACCACUGACAUCCACUGCUGGUCUCUGAUUGGUCCUCUCAGCAUCUCAAGAGUACAACUGCUUGUUGAAAUACUUUUAUAUAUUUUGCGCCUUUUUCUCACUGAACCUUACUCAAAUGACUCAAAAAGGACAUAUUUUUAACAGAAUUUUCUGCCAAGUAGGCAAUGAUCAUAUAAAUGUGUUAAUAUACUUUAUUAACUUUAUUGUUAUGUAAAUGUUAUUUAUGCUCGGUGACUUAUGACUGCACUCUGGUUUCUUUGGCAGAUUAAUAAACCUCAGUUCUUGUAUAA